AGACGUGGCCGAUGGGGGUCAAAGUGCAGUAUCUGUUCGUAUCGGCUUAAUAUCUAAUACGUGUUCUAUUUGGACCGAAGGUAUUGAACUUAUAUUUGCAAGUUGGCGGAGUGCUUGAAGCCUGCUCGACCUCCGCCUCGGGUCGGCCCGAUAUCGCACCGCCUCCGCGAUCGGCCCAUGGUUU